UAAGGAAUAUUGGACAAUGGAGGCAACUCUGAUCCAGCCAUGCCGCGUGAAGGAAUAAGGCCCUAUGGGUUGUAAACUUCUUUUAGACGGGACAAAACCCCUUUACGUGUAAAGGGUUGAUGGUACUGUCAGAAUAAGCAUCGGCUAACUUCGUGCCAGCAGCCGCGGUAAUACGAAGGAUGCAAGCGUUAUCCGGAAUUACUGGGUUUAAAGGGUGCGUAGGCGGACUAAUAAGUCAGUGGUGACAGCCUGCAGCUUAACUGCAGAAUUGCCAUUGAUACUGUUAGUCUUGAGUACAGUUGAGGUAGGCGGAAUGUGUCAUGUAGCGGUGAAAUGCUUAGAUAUGACACAGAACACCGAUUGCGAAGGCAGCUUGCUAAGCUGUAACUGACGCUGAGGCACGAAAGCGUGGGGAGCAAACA
rnacentral:rRNA from 1 species